UACGUAGGGUGCGAGCGCUAAUCGGAAUUACUGGGCGUAAAGCGUGCGCAGGCGGUGAUGUAAGACAGAUGUGAAAUCCCCGGGCUCAACCUGGGACCUGCAUUUGUGACUGCAUCGCUAGAGUACGGCAGAGGGGGAUGGAAUUCCGCGUGUAGCAGUGAAAUGCGUAGAUAUGCGGAGGAACACCGAUGGCGAAGGCAAUCCCCUGGGCCUGUACUGACGCUCAUGCACGAAAGCGUGGGGAGCAAACAGG
rnacentral:rRNA from 1 species